rnacentral:rRNA from 1 species
GACGAACGCUGGCGGCGUGCUUAACACAUGCAAGUGGAGCGACGAACCAGGGCUUGCCCUGGGGCAGAGCCGCGAACGGGUGAGUAACACGUGGGUAACGUGCCCCGAUGACUGGGACAACCCGGGGAAACCCGGGCUAAUACCGGAUGUGCCCCCUCACAUCAGUGAGGUGUGUAAAGGAAGCUUCGGCCUCCGCAUCGGGAUCGGCCCGCGGCCCAUUAGCUUGUUGGUGAGGUAACGGCCCACCAAGGCUGCGAUGGGUAGCUGGUCUGAGAGGACGAUCAGCCACACUGGGACUGAGACACGGCCCAGACUCCUACGGGAGGCAGCAGUGGGGAAUCUUGCGCAAUGCGCGAAAGCGUGACGCAGCAACGCCGCGUGGGGGAAGACGGCCUUCGGGUUGUAAACCCCUUUCAGUUGGGACGAAGGUCGGGCGGUUAACAGCCGUUCCGGCUGACGGUACCUUCACAAGAAGCCCCGGCUAACUACGUG